AUCUGAUUUGACAGUGGCACUACGAAAAACUAAAGUUAAAGAAAAAAAAUGAAAACGUUUCCUUACUCUUCUAUACUUAGAUUAGAUAGGUUGCAAAAGUUUGUCAUUAUGUUGGUGUAGACACCAUCAUCACCAAUUUAAAGCAGUCUGUGAUGAAAAUAACGUCGAUCAGGGCAUCUCAUCGCCCACAUCACUGCUGCCCGUCGCAAUGUAGUGGGGUAAUACUGAUAUA
rnacentral:lncRNA from 1 species